AAUUGGAGGGCAAGUCUGGUGCCAGCAGCCGCGGUAAUUCCAGCUCCAAUAGCGUAUAUUAAAGUUGUUGCAGUUAAAAAGCUCGUAGUUGAAUUUCGGGAUUGACGUGAUGGUCGUGCCUUAAGGGGUAUGAACUGUCGCAGUUGAUUUCUCACCUUCUGGAGAAGCAUGAUGUCCUUAAUUGGGUGUCAUGUGGAACCAGGACCUUUACCUUGAAAAAAUUAGAGUGUUUAAAGCAGGCAUUUUGCUCGAAUACAUUAGCAUGGAAUAAUAGAAUAGGACGGCAUGGUUCUAUUUUGUUGGUUUCUAGGAUCACCGUAAUGAUUAAUAGGGAUAGUUGGGGGCAUUAGUAUUCAAUUGUCAGAGGUGAAAUUCUUGGAUUUAUUGAAGACUAACUACUGCGAAAGCAUUUGCCAAGGAUGUUUUCAUUAAUCAAGAACGAAAGUUAGGGGAUCGAAGACGAUCAGAUACCGUCGUAGUCUUAACCAUAAACUAUGCCGACUAGGAAUCAGAUGAUGUUAAUUUUUUAAUGACUCGUUUGGCACCUUACGGGAAACCAAAGUGU
rnacentral:rRNA from 1 species